CUCUGUAGGGUGGCUCUAUGGGGUGGGUUCUGUAGGGUGGCUCUGUAGGGUGGCUCUGUAGGGUGGCUCUGUAGGGUGGCUCUAUGGGGUGGGUUCUGUAGGGCGGCUCUAUGGGGUGGCGGAUUGUUCCCUAUUGUCUUGCUUGGAUCUGUGGGGUCUUGUAGGAUCUGUGGGGUCAGAUCUGUGGGGUCAGAUCUAUGGGGUCGGAUCUGUGGGGCUCAUUGAGAUCUAUGGGGUCAGAUCUAUGGGGUCAGAUCUGUGGGGUCAGAUCUAUGGGGUCGGGUCUGU
rnacentral:lncRNA from 1 species